rnacentral:rRNA from 1 species
UGGGGAAUAUUGCACAAUGGAGGGAACUCUGAUGCAGCGACGCCGCGUGAACGAAGAAGGCUUUCGAGUCGUAAAGUUCUUUUACAUGGGAAGAUAAUGACGGUACCAUAAGAAAAAGCCCCGGCUAACUACGUGCCAGCAGCCGCGGUAAUACGUAGGGGGCUAGCGUGGUCCGGAAUCACUGGGCGUAAAGGGUUCGCAGGCGGAAAUGCAAGUCAGGUGUAAAAGGCAGUAGCUUAACUACUGUAAGCAUUUGAAACUGCAUAUCUUGAGCAUAGUAGAGGUAAGUGGAAUUUUUAGUGUAGCGGUGAAAUGCGUAGAUAUUAAAAAGAAUACCGGUGGCGAAGGCGACUUACUGGGCUCAUUCUGACGCUGAGGAACGAAAGCGUGGGUAGCAAACAGG